rnacentral:rRNA from 1 species
GAUGAACGCUGGCGGCGUGCUUAACACAUGCAAGUCGAACGGGAAACCUUUUAUUGAAGCUUCGGCAGAUUUAGCUGGUUUCUAGUGGCGGACGGGUGAGUAACGCGUGGGUAACCUGCCUUAUACAGGGGGAUAACAACCAGAAAUGGUUGCUAAUACCGCAUAAGCGCACAGGACCGCAUGGUCCGGUGUGAAAAACUCCGGUGGUAUAAGAGGGACCCGCGUUGGAUUAGCUAGUUGGCAGGGUAACGGCCUACCAAGGCGACGAUCCAUAGACGGCCAGAGAGAGUGAGCGGAGACACUGGGAGUGGGACACGGCCGAGACUCCUACGGGAGGGGGGAAUGGGGAAUAUAGCAAAAUGGGGGAAACCCUGAAGGAGCGACGCCGCGUGAAGGAAGAAAUAUCUCGGUAUGUAAAGUUCUAUCAGCAGGGAAGAUAGUGACGGUACCUGACUAAGAAGCCCCGGCUAACUACGUG